UUGGAGGGCAAGYYUGGUGCCAGCAGCCGCGGUAAUUCCAGCUCCAAUAGCGUAUAUUAAAGUUGUUGCAGUUAAAAAGCUCGUAGUUGAAUUUCAGGCCUGGCUGGACGGUCCGCCCUUCGGGUGAGUACUGUCUGUGGUCGGGUCCUACCUUCUGGCGAAGCGUCAUGGCCUUAACCGGCCGUGGCGGGGAACCAGGACUUUUACUGUGAAAAAAUUAGAGUGUUCAAAGCAGGCAAUCGCUUGGAUACAUUAGCAUGGAAUAAUGGAAUAGGACAAUGGUUCUAUUUGUUGGUUUCUAGGACCGUUGUAAUGAUUAAUAGGGAUAGUUGGGGGCAUUAGUAUUCAAUUGUCAGAGGUGAAAUUCUUGGAUUUAUUGAAGACUAACUACUGCGAAAGCAUUUGCCAAGGAUGUUUUCAUUAAUCAAGAACGAAAGUUAGGGGAUCGAAGACGAUCAGAUACCGUCGUAGUCUUAACCAUAAACUAUGCCGACUAGGAAUCGGGCGAUGUUGAAAAAAUGACGCGCUCGGCACCCUAUGGGAAACCAAAG
rnacentral:rRNA from 1 species